UAGGGAAUCUUCGGCAAUGGACGGAAGUCUGACCGAGCAACGCCGCGUGAGUGAAGAAGGUUUUCGGAUCGUAAAGCUCUGUUGUUAAGGAAGAACGAGUGUGAGAAUGGAAAGUUCAUACUGUGACGGUACUUAACCAGAAAGGGACGGCUAACUACGUGCCAGCAGCCGCGGUAAUACGUAGGUCCCGAGCGUUGUCCGGAUUUAUUGGGCGUAAAGCGAGCGCAGGCGGUUAGAAAAGUCUGAAGUGAAAGGCAGUGGCUCAACCAUUGUAGGCUUUGGAAACUGUUUAACUUGAGUGCAGAAGGGGAGAGUGGAAUUCCAUGUGUAGCGGUGAAAUGCGUAGAUAUAUGGAGGAACACCGGUGGCGAAAGCGGCUCUCUGGUCUGUAACUGACGCUGAGGCUCGAAAGCGUGGGGAGCGAACAGGAUUAGAUACCCUGGUAGUCCACGCCGUAAACGAUGAGUGCUAGGUGUUAGGUCCUUUCCGGGACUUAGCGCCGCAGCUAACGCAUUAAGCACUCCGCCUGGGAGUACGACCGCANNU
rnacentral:rRNA from 1 species